rnacentral:rRNA from 1 species
AGUGAACGCUGGCGGUAGGCCUAACACAUGCAAGUCGAACGGCAGCACAGUAAGAGCUUGCUCUUACGGGUGGCGAGUGGCGGACGGGUGAGGAAUAUAUCGGAAUCUACUUUUUCGUGGGGGUUAACGUAGGGAAACUUACGCUAAUACCGCAUACGACCUACGGGUGAAAGCAGGGGAUCUUCGGACCUUGCGCGAAUGAAUGAGCCGAUGUCGGAUUAGCUAGUUGGCGGGGUAAAGGCCCACCAAGGCGACGAUCCGUAGCUGGUCUGAGAGGAUGGUCAGCCACACUGGAACGGAGACACGGACCAGACUCCUACGGGAGGCAGCAGUGGGGAAUAUUGGACAAUGGGCGCAAGCCUGAUCCAGCCAUACCGCGUGGGUGAAGAAGGCCUUCGGGUUGUAAAGCCCUUUUGUUGGGAAAGAAAAGCAGCAGGUUAAUACCCCGCUGUUCUGACGGUACCCAAAGAAUAAGCACCGGCUAACUUCGUG